AAGAGGCGGUCACGAUCUGAAACGAUGGACUUAGGCACCCCGUGAAGGCGGACAAUCUCAACCGAAAAACGGGCAGCAAGAUCCUGGGCAGAGAACUUGGUGGGUAAGGCCAGAAAGUGAGAAAAUUUGGUAAGCCUGUCGACAAUCACCCAAAUCACCGUGUGACCGUGGGAGUUAGGAAGGUGAGGCACGAUUGGACUAGUUUUUUUGUAUCCUUGUAGAUACCAGGCCAGAAAAAAGAGGUGCUGAGCCGCGCAAGGGAUGCUUUAAAACCUGAAUGACCGGCGUGGGGCGAGCUGUGGAAUUCAUUGAUCAGGGAACGACGGAGGUCAUGAACAUCAGGUACGAAAACUUUGUUAUUGAACAUGAGGAGGCCUUGCUGAAAAUGAAAGUGACUCCUUGCAUUUGUGUCUGAGGUGCAUUUGUCCACAAGAGCAAUGCCAACGGGAUCAGAACUAUAAUAACUCCGAAGAGUAUCAAGAAUGUGUGGCACCGGUGACGUAAGAGCUGUGAAGGUGAGUGGUGCGUCCGAGUGACAACGGGAAAGAGCAUCUGCAACGACAUUUUCACGGCCUGGACGAUAUAGGAUAUCGAAGAUUCCGUAAUGGCAAACAUCUCCCGGACAUAAACCGAGGCAGCCUGCAUACGGGGGCAUAGCUUUUUGCUGAAGAAGGCUAUGGGGUGGCCGGACUGGGAAAGUACUGCACCAAUAGCUAUGGAGGAUGCAUCAGUUUCUAAGUCAAAAGGGGCAUCAAAGUUGGGUAGGGUUAGAACUGGGGAGUGGGCAAUGGCCUGUUGUAAUGCAAUAAAAGCUUUAUCUGUAUGUGUAUUCCAAGAGAAAGAAGAACGUAACAGAUCCGUGAGAGGCGCUGCAA